GUUGAAACACCAGUUCCCGUACGAUCAUCGAAGUUAAGCAACGUCGAGCCUGAUCAGUAUUACCUAGAUGGGUGACCGCUUGGGAAUGCCAGGUACAGUA